CGAUAGCUCAGUUGGUAGAGCGGGGGACUGUAGAUUUAUAAUUGUGAUCCCUAAAUUGCUGGUUCGAAUCCGGCUCG
rnacentral:tRNA from 1 species